GGGGUUGUAACUUAAUUGGUAAAGUUCCCAACUUUUAAUUGGUAUUAUUAGGGUUCAAAUCCCUACAACCUCA
rnacentral:tRNA from 1 species